rnacentral:rRNA from 1 species
UAGUAACUGCGAGUGAAGCGGGAAAAGCUCAAAUUUAAAAUCUGGCGGUCUCUGGCCGUCCGAGUUGUAAUCUAGAGAAGUAAUGCCCGCGCUGGACCGUGUACAAGUCUCCUGGGAUGGAGCGUCAUAGAGGGUGAGAAUCCCGUCUCUGACACGGACUACCAGGGCUUUGUGGUAUGCUCUCAAAGAGUCGAGUUGUUUGGGAAUGCAGCUCAAAAUGGGUGGUAAAUUCCAUCUAAAGCUAAAUAUUGGCGAGAGACCGAUAGCGAACAAGUACCGUGAGGGAAAGAUGAAAAGAACUUUGGAAAGAGAGUUAAACAGUACGUGAAAUUGCUGAAAGGGAAACGCUUGAAGUCAGUCGCGUUGGCCAGGGAUCAGCCUCACUCUUGUGUGGUGUACUUUCUGGUUGACGGGUCAGCAUCAAUUUUGACCGCUGGAAAAAGGCCUGGGGAAUGUGGCAGCUUCGGCUGUGUUAUAGCCCCUAGUCACAUAUAGCGGUUGGGAUUGAGGAACUCAGCACGCCGCAAGGCCGGGUUUCGACCACGUUCGUGCUUAGGAUGCUGGCAUAAUGGCUUUAAGCGACCCGUCUUGAAACACGGACCAAGGAGUCUAACAUGCCUGCGAGUAUUUGGGUGGAAAACCCGAGUGCGUAAUGAAAGUGAAAGUUGAGAUCCCUGUCGUGGGGAGCAUCGACGCCCGGACCAGAACUUUUGGGACGGAUCCGCGGUAGAGCAUGUAUGUUGGGACCCGAAAGAUGGUGAACUAUGCCUG